rnacentral:rRNA from 1 species
UACGAAGGGUGCAAACGUUGCUCGGAAUUAUUGGGCGUAAAGCGCACGUAGGCGGCUUAGCAAGUUGGAUGUGAAAUCCCUCGGCUUAACCAAGGAAGUGCAUCCGAAACUGGCGGGCUAGAGUACGAAAGAGGGUCGCGGAAUUCCCGGUGUAGAGGUGAAAUUCGUAGAUAUCGGGAGGAACACCGGUGGCGAAGGCGGCGACCUGGGUCGAUACUGACGCUGAGGCGCGAAAGCGUGGGGAGCAAACAGG